AUACGGAGGAUCCGAGCGUUAUCCGGAUUUAUUGGGUUUAAAGGGUGCGCAGGCGGCCAUUUAAGUCAGCGGUUAAAUCGUGGGGCUCAACCCCAUUCUGCCGUUGAUACUGGGUGGCUUGAUUGCGGUCGAGGUUGGCGGAAUUCGUUGUGUAGCGGUGAAAUGCAUAGAUAUGACGAAGAACACCGAUUGCGUAGGCAGCUGACCAGACCGCAAAUGACGCUCAUGCACGAAAGUGCGGGGAUCGAACAGGAUUAGAUACCCUGGUAGUCCGCACAGUAAACGAUGAAUACUUGUUUUCGGCGAUAUAAUGUCGGAGGGAAAGCGAAAGCGAUAAGUAUUCCACCUGGGGAGUACGCCGGCAACGGUGAGACUCAAAUGAAUUGACGGGG
rnacentral:rRNA from 1 species